rnacentral:snoRNA from 1 species
CAUAUCAGAAGAUGAAACCUCGAAACAAUCUCAGGACACCUUCUGACACAGUGGCUAGUAGCUAUGUGGGUGAGAAGACAAUUAUUUUCUAAUGAUACU